AUGGGUUUUACUCUGCUUAUCAUUGGUCCAGCUCCCGGGACAGGAAACAUGGUGCGUCUUGAUUAUCUCCACACCUUGCGAGACAUGAGUGUUGUCCAUGAAUUAGAAUGGGAUGAGCAUAUUCUGUCCGAUGUGAUGAAGGAAGUUAAAAAGUACCAGGAUAAGAGGUCUGAAGGUAAAGGGAAAUUCCUGAUUGGUGGCUGUCUACCAAUGCUUCCGGUAAUUUACAUGGACCACCUUGACAUUCCAAGAGGAUGCAUAGUUGAUCAUACCAUCGACUACUCACUGCCACGAGCUUGUUUUGUUCAUGAAAUGGACUUCACCGCUGUUGUUGCAGUCGACACACUAGAUGAUGGAUUUGGGAAGCGCCCUUUCAGCUCCAAUACACCGUAUGCAACACCCAAGUUUCUGUCAUAUGUAGAUCAGCUUACCCAAAGAUCAAUACAAGGCAGUGUCACAGAGGAUCUGCCCGAAACAAAUACCCAAGGCGGAGAUGUUGCUUCCGCAACACCCAUUAUGGAUGUGCCGGAGAGCUCGCACACACAAGCCAAUCCACAAGGGGGAGCUGAUGUGGGCUCUCAAGAACCACCUAAGGGUGGUAUGGAGGGUACUGAUGGAAGAGAAGAGACUGUGCACGAGCCACCUCUGGAUAAUAUGGGCGGUGGUGAUGGUGUGUGCGGAUCUUUGGAGGAGUGGCUACACGCAUUGUCUACAUUCUAG
rnacentral:rRNA from 1 species